rnacentral:lncRNA from 1 species
AAUUCUAACACUAGUUGCGGUGUGUCGUCGGAGGACCAAACGGACCAACUCCAAUCCCUCGAGUCAUUCUCUUCAAUGCCUCAGGACGAGCCCGACUCAUUCUCCCCUUCUAUUCCGGAGUCGAACCCGAAUUACCAGAUGCCGCUCCCUUCACCCGCUGAAUCCACGUCGUCCAGCCCACCACCAACCCUCCUCCACAUCUCCUUCAACCAAGACCACGGCUGUUUCGCUGCCGGCACCGACCACGGCUUCCGGAUCUACAACUGCGAUCCAUUUCGCGAGAUAUUCCGCCGAGAUUUCGAACGCGGGGGAGGGAUCGGAGUCGUCGAGAUGCUUUUCAGAUGCAACAUACUCGCCCUCGUUGGCGGCGGGCCCGACCCGCAGUACC